rnacentral:lncRNA from 1 species
UAUUACUCUUACGUUACUUAUUUUGGAAAGGAUAUGAAACAAUGGGAAUUUUCAUAUUCUACUCCUAGGAUGAUAAAUCUGUACCAUCAUUUUGGCUGAGUAUGGCAUUAUCUGAUUAAGAUGAAGGAUCACAUCCUAAACCCAGUAUUUACACUCUUAUCCGAAUACAUAUACAUGCACAUGCGUAUCACUGAGUUUCAGUAGCUAAAGUUGAGAAGUACUUGGAAUGUCUGUCAGUCCUCCAAAUGGAUAAACAAAUUAUGGCAUACUUAUACAAUGGAAUACUAUACAGUGAUCAAAAUUAACAAAGAAGACUGACAUGUUUACAACAGUAUAAUACAACAAAGGAAAUGAACAAAUUUGAGCUACAUAGAUAAUAAUACUCACAGAUGUGAAAGGAAUUAUCAAGAUGGAAAAAUACAUUUGGAAUGAUCUUUUACAUAAAGUUUGGAAAAAAAAUUUUUAAUACAUUGUAAUUUGUUACAUUGGUGAUGAAACUCUACAGUGAAAUAUAUGAAUGAUCAUCAUAACAAUUGGGAUAAUCAGGAGGGAGGAAAUAAAAGGGAAAUAUCAACAAGAAGACGUAUAUUGGGAGUAUCUGGAUUGCUGGCAAAUUCUAUUUUCUGACCAAGGUUUGGUAACAUCAAUGUUAAUGUUAUAAUUUUUUCUUACUGUUUUUAGGUUUUAUUACUCUCUGUAUGUUAUUAUAAGAAUGUUUGUGAUUUUUGCACAUUGAUUUUGUAUCCUGAGACUUUGCU